rnacentral:rRNA from 1 species
UUAAGCUACAAAGGGCGUAGGGUGAAUGCCUUGGCAUCAAGAGCCGAUGAAGGACGUGAUAAGCUGCGAUAAGCUAUGGGUAGGAGCAAAUAUCCACUAAUCCAUAGAUCUCCGAAUGAGGAAACUCAACUAGUAACAAUAUACUAGUUAUCCAUACAUGAGUAAAGUAGUGUAUGAGAAGGGAACGUGGGGAACUGAAACAUCUUAGUACCCACAGGAAAAGAAAGAAAUUAUUCGAUUCCUAGAGUAGUGGCGAGCGAAAUAGGAAGAGCCCAAACUGUAAGUAGUAAUACAUACAGGGUUCGGACUGCAUAAUCGAUUUAAUGAGUUUAGUAGAAGUGUUUUGGAAAAGCACACCAUAGAUGGUGAAAGUCCAGUAUGCGAAAAGCGAGUUAACGAGGCAGUAUCCAGAGUAGCACGAGGCACGUGGAAUCUCGUGUGAAUGUGUGGGGACCAUCCCAUAAGGCUAAAUACUACUUGAUGACCGAUAGUGAACGAGUACCGUGAGGGAAAGGUGAAAAGAACCCCGGGAGGGGAGUGAAAUAGAAUUUGAAACCCUAUGUUUACAAGCAGACAAAGCACGUUAAGGUGCGAUGUCGUACUUUUUGUAGAACGGUCCAGCGAGUUAUUGUAUAUGGCAAGGUUAAAUACUAAGUAAGGUAUGGAGCCGAAGCGAAAGCGAGUGUUAAUAGCGCGUUUAAGUCAUAUGUAAUAGACCCGAAACCGAGUGACCUAUCCAUGGUCAGGAUGAAGCUAGAGUAAAAUCUAGUGGAGGUCCGAACUGAUUGUCGUUAAAAAGGCACCGGAUGAACUGUGGAUAGCGGAGAAAUUCCAAUCGAACUCGGAGAUAGCUGGUUCUCCUCGAAAUAGCUUUAGGGCUAGCCUUGAGGUAAAGACGUAUGGGGGUAGAGCACUGAAUGAGCUAGGGGCCUAACCAGGUUACUGAACUCUAUCAAACUACGAAUACCAUAUUGUUAUACUCAGGAGUCAGACUGCGGGAGCUAAGUUCCGUGGUCAAAAGGGAAAGAGCCCAGAUCGUCAAUUAAGGUCCCAAAGAUAUAGCUAAGUGGAAAACGAUGUGAUUUUGCGUAAACAACCAGGAUGUUGGCUCAGAAGCAGCCACUCAUUCAAAGAGUGCGUAACAGCUCACUGGUCGAGUGAAAUUGCGCGGAAAAUUACCGGGGCUAAGCUAUACACCGAAAUUGCGGAUUCAAGGAUUUAUCCUUGAGUGGUAGAGGAGCAUUCUGUUGUAGGUUGAAGUAUGACCGUAAGGACAUGUGGACGAAGCAGAAGAGAGAAUGCUGGAAUAAGUAGCGAGAGCAAGGUGAGAAUCCUUGCCGUCGAAAGUCUAAGGUUUCCUGGGGAAGGUUCGUCCGCCCAGGGUUAGUCGGGACCUAAGGAGAGGCCGAGAGGCGUAUCUGAUGGACAGCAGGUUGAUAUUCCUGCACUAUAGAUAUACUUAAAAGAUGCAAGGGACGCAGAAGUGGAAGGGAUGCGAGGAAGAGGAAAAACUCGUAUCGAAAGAUAUAGUGAAAAUAAAGUAACGAAUUCCCAAGAAGCACGCUGACGAGAAAAGCUUGUAGAUAUUGUAUAUAAAUACCCGUACCGCAAACCGACACAGGUAGAUGAGGAGAGGAUCCUAAGACGAGCGGGAGAAGCAUUGUUAAGGAACUCGGCAAAUUGACCCCGUAACUUCGGAAUAAGGGGUGCCUAUGUAAAAGUAGGCCGCAGAGAAUAGGCCCAAGCAACUGUUUAACAAAAACACAGGUUUCUGCUAAAUCGAAAGAUGAAGUAUAGGAGCUGACGCCUGCCCAGUGCUGGAAGGUUAAGGGAAAGAGUUAGGGUUAAACCGAAGCUUAGAACUGAAGCCCCAGUGAACGGCGGCCGUAACUAUAACGGUCCUAAGGUAGCGAAAUUCCUUGUCAGGUAAGUUCUGACCCG